AAUAUACUAGUAUAUGGUUUAGGGGUCGGGAUGUUGACCGUUUACAAGUUUUCAAACAAGAUGGGGUGGGGUGACCCCCUAGGGACUUCCCUUUAAUUUCUUUUCAUUUGUUUUAUUGUCCCCUACAAGAAUAUAUAUGGUUUAGGGGUGGGGAUCUGGACCGUUUACAAGAUAAUAGCACAUUCUCAAAUUGAAUGGGGUGGGGAUGACCCCCGGGGACCUCCCUCUAAUUUUAUUUGAUUUGUUUUAUCG
rnacentral:lncRNA from 1 species